AGGUAAAAUUUUGGAUAUUAAGUUUUACAAUCUAGUCACUUAGUUUUUUAAUUAUUACUCGGAAGCAAUUCUUUAUUUCCGCUACUGCCGCCGCUAUUUUAAAUAUUAAAAGUAUUUCAUUCUCCUUAAGAUUUUGAAGGGUUUGAUGAACUGUCAAGUGAUGACGAUUCAGACAGUGAUGACGAAACUAGUGACGAAGACGUGUAAUGAUAAUUUAAGAUGCUGAUGCAGAACAAUAUCAAUCAUGCUGCUAUAACCUAUUGUACAUAUUUAUAUUUUAUUAAAUGCUAUCAGAGCAUUU